rnacentral:rRNA from 1 species
UACGAAGGGGGCUAGCGUUGCUCGGAAUUACUGGGCGUAAAGCGCACGUAGGCGGCUUGUUAAGUCAGGGGUGAAAUCCUGGAGCUCAACUCCAGAACUGCCUUUGAUACUGGCGAGCUUGAGUUCGGGAGAGGUGAGUGGAACUGCGAGUGUAGAGGUGAAAUUCGUAGAUAUUGGGAAGAACACCGGUGGCGAAGGCGGCUCUCUGGACCGAUACUGACGCUGAGGCGCGAAAGCGUGGGGAGCAAACAGG